ACUAUUACUAAAACGGGUGGAUGUGUCUUGAUACGGUUAUUAAUAACCAAGAGGAACUUUCAUUCUAUUAUAUACAUAUAAUACUGGAAACAAACCUUAAACUUUAUCCAUUUUCUACAAGUACUUGUUCUCUGGUCUGUGGAGUCCUUGCACAUUUGUGAUUUUUCUUCUUUCUUUUUGGGUGGUGGUUGGUAUGGUCUUUCCUGGAAGAAGAAGAAGAGUAACGUGUGAAAAUGUUGAUGAUGUGUAAUUCUGUGAGCCUCCUGUUCUGAUGAAAAUAUGGUAUUUUGAGCAAGACAGGUUUCCUACACAAAUGAUGGUGAGAGAUACAGUAUGAUGUCUGGCGAUGCACUAGUUGAUAAAUAAAUUAAGCCAUUUUUCGUUUGAUUUCUUGGCUAAUUCAUUUUAUCUAUUGUCUAGGAGCUGUAUCCGUCUUUACUUAUUUACCAGAAAAGUACAUCUUUCAAGAUAAUCUUUUACCCACGGAAUGCUGAAUGUUUACUGAUCUCCUUUUCUACAUGCAGGUUCAUAUAUUCUUUUAUCGGCAUUGGUGUAAUACUUUUCAUCAUUUCCUGUUGUGGGUGCAUUGGAACAGCUGCACGAAAUGGAUGUUGCCUGACUUGUUAUGCAGUAUUGCUAAUCUUGUUGAUCUUGAUUGAACUGGGAUUAGCUGCUUUUAUGUUCUUUGACAAAAACUGGAGAGCGGAAAUUCCUACUGACAAAACUGGAAAUUUUGAUAUGAUGUAUGCGUUUCUGGAGAACCACUGGAAAAUUAUCAAGUGGGUUGCUCUUGGCGUUGUUGUAUUGGAGGUAAAGUCUUCGAUGGUAUUUUGCUUUAGUAUGUAGUUGU